rnacentral:rRNA from 1 species
UACGAAGGGGGCGAGCGUUGUUCGGAAUUACUGGGCGUAAAGGGCGCGUAGGCGGCCGAGCAAGUUAGAUGUGAAAGUCCUGGGCUUAACCUGGGGACUGCAUUUGAUACUGCUUGGCUUGAAUUCGGGAGAGGAUAGCGGAAUUCCCAGUGUAGAGGUGAAAUUCGUAGAUAUUGGGAAGAACACCGGUGGCGAAGGCGGCAUCCUGGACCGACACUGACACUGAGGAGCGAAAGCCAGGGGAGCAAACGGGG